CUACGAUGCAAAUGUAACUGGGCGUCCUUUCAUUUUAGCCGCAACUCUAUCGCCGGCCGAGGGGCCGGACGCCGACAUGGUCACUGCCAGGCCGCAGCGACGUCAGGCCGCAAGCUGUCGGGAUUAAAUGGCCCCCGGCGCGAGCCCGGGCCGCGGGAGGGCAGAGUGGUCCUCAGGCCUCACCUGGAGUCCUGCUACAGCCUCGACCCACGUCCGAACCAGCCCACCACCUCCUCCCAGCAGCCGAGCCCAGCCGCCACCGGGCGGGCUUCCCUUCCCGCAACGCAGCCGGCCCUUGGGGCGCGCCGCGUCACGGGCACCGACUUCCGCCGCGGACGCGCCACCUCUCGGCCCCCGUAGUCCUCGGCCCUACCGCCGCGGCCCGCCGGAAGUUGUUGCCGCUGGCUUCCGGUCCCCUGAGACUGGGGCCUCGCUCGCUCCCGACCCGGUUGCAAGUGUUGCGGUGGGAGAAAGUCGAGUCCGCAGCGGAGGGGAAGCGCCGUCAUGCCUAAGUAUUAUGAGGACAAGCCGCAGGGCGGCGCGUGCGCGGGCCUGAAGGAGGACCUGGGCGCGUGUCUGCUGCAGUCGGACUGUGUGGUCCAGGUAGCGCGGCCGGGCGCUCCCGGUGGUGACGACCCCUGUCCCAGGCAGGCCUGGCUCGGCGGAGGGCAGCGGGUCGCCCGCGGCGGCGGUUGGAGUUAACCAUCCCGGGCGUAGGUCACAGCUCGGGCUCACCGAACGUGCGCAGAUCCACUGAGCUGUCGGAGCCCCAGUUCCCUGUGGGGUUAAAUCGGAGAUAACGAUAAACGCACCCUGUCGGGUUUUUGUAAAGGAAGGAAAAUCACCUCGGCAGUGUUUGAAGGAAGGAUACUGCAACUCUUUGAAGUACGCAUUUUUUGAGUGUAAAAGAUCAGUGUUGGAUAACAGGGCAAGAUUCAGAGGAAGAAAAGGAUAUUGAUGCAUUAUGUUGAAGCCAACAUGGAAAACAACAAAUAUUUUCCCUGGUCAUUAACACAAAGAAGCCAAAACAGGAAACAUACUUUUUACUACAUCUGUUUGGUUGGACCAGAUUUCCCCUCCGUGGAACACUGAAGAAAGUGGAUGAGUUGUUUUCGAAUAUGUAUAAAGUAAAUGAUUCUCUUGAUCCAAGUUAUUUUUAGAAGAAAAACCUAAUUGAACAGGUAUGGGUUGGGAGCAUAAUAAAUGUGUUUUGAGAAUUGUUCUAAAGCACAGAAAAUGGAAAGACUGUUAUUUGCAAACUUGACUCUUCAAUUGAAUUACCCAAUUUGUACAGGCCACUGAUGUGACUGACACAGUCGAUAACAUGCAGCCUAUCCAGAAGGUGUCUGUUGGGAAAGUUUAGGAUAAAACUUUUUCUUUAGUUCAGUCUUUUCCUGUCUAGUUCUAAAAUGAAUUGUGUUUGAUUCCUUAGAGAAGAAAUACUUCAUUUGUGGUCUGAUUCACUGAAGUAAUAACCUCAGCACUUUAAUAGCGUCCACAGGCAUAGCUGAUGCUAGGCCCCAGAUUGUGUUGCCCAGGCUCUUUACCAUCAUCUUCGGACUGUUUUUGUUUCCUGGUUUCAUUUUCAGUCUGGCCCGCUCUACAUAAUGGGCCAGUGUCAGCUCCAAGUCCACAUCCUUAUUAUCCAUGAUUCAAAAGGGAGAGAGAGAACUUCCUUUUUCAGGGUCCACAAAUCAAAUCUAUAAAAGGACUCUGGUCUUCCCAGGAUCACCUGCCCUUGCAUUGGACCAGUCCCUGUGGAAGAGGGGAUGGGGGCCUGUGAUCUUGGCCAGGCCUGGGCUAUCUGCACUGUCAUUGCUAACUCCUGUCAGAAUCACAUGGAUGAGUAGUGGGCUGAAUCCCAAAAGGAAAGGGGUUUAGAGCAAGUGGAAACAACAGAUGUUCACUAUAGAAAGCAAGAAUGAAAACCAUGAAGUGGUUGAAGAUUAGCCUUACAGUAAUUUUAUUCUGAUCACUUAAUACAGUAGAGUCAAACAGGAAUUCAAGUUUCCAACUUUAUUUUUGGCACUGAAGAAUUACAAAGAACUCUAGCGUCUUUAUACCUCCGUGGUUCACUGGAGUUAAAGCAAUCGGGGCGUUGUACAGCUCACUUGAGUUUUUAAAGGUUCUACUAAAAAGUGAGAAUUCCACAGCAAUAUGGGUCAUUGUUGCAGAAUAUCACAAAGGUCUGUUGUGUAUACUCCUUUUCACCAGGAAAGGGACAAUAAUAGUUUUUUUCAAUGUAUAUAUAUAUAAGUGAUCUAACUUUUUAUUAAUAAAAGUAAACAAACAACUCUAAAAUGUA